rnacentral:misc_RNA from 1 species
AGGAGUUCGCCAAGGGGCCCCUCUCCGUUCUGAUGCUCAGUGUGAAAAAUAAUACCCAGGUUCUCAUUAACUGCAGGAACAACAAGAAGCUACUUGGUCGUGUCAGGGCAUUCGACCGCCACUGCAACAUGGUCCUUGAGAAUGUCAGGGAAAUGUGGACUGAGGUUCCGAAGACGGGUAAGGGGAAAAAGAAAGCUCUCCCAGUCA